GUGCUUGCUUCAGCAGCACAUACACUAAAAUUGGAAUGAUACAGAGAAGAUUAGCAUGGCCCCUAUGCAAGGAUGAUACACAAAUAUUUUUGAAAUAUUUUC
ensembl:snRNA U6 U6 spliceosomal RNA